UACGAACUGUGCAAACGUUAUUCGGAUUCACUGGGCUUAAAGGGUGCGUAGGCGGCCAUGUAAGUAGGGUGUGAAAUCCCCCGGCUUAACCGGGGAACUGCGCCCUAAACUGUAUGGCUGGAGUGAGAUAGGGGUGUGUGGAACUUCCGGUAGAGCGGUGAAAUGUGUUGAUAUCGGAAGGAACGCCGGUGGCGAAAGCGACACACUGGGUCUCAACUGACGCUGAGGCACGAAAGCCAGGGGAGCGAACGGG
rnacentral:rRNA from 1 species